rnacentral:rRNA from 1 species
GUGGACCCGUUACCCGGGUUGCGGACAGUGUCUGGUGGGUAGUUUGACUGGGGCGGUCUCCUCCUAAAGAGUAACGGAGGAGCACGAAGGUUAGCUAAUCCUGGUCGGACAUCAGGAGGUUAGUGCAAAGGCAUAAGCUAGCUUGACUGCGAGAGUGACGGCUCGAGCAGGUGCGAAAGCAGGUCUUAGUGAUCCGGUGGUUCUGAAUGGAAGGGCCAUCGCUCAACGGAUAAAAGGUACUCCGGGGAUAACAGGCUGAUACCGCCCAAGAGUUCAUAUCGACGGCGGUGUUUGGCACCUCGAUGUCGGCUCAUCACAUCCUGGGGCUGAAGUAGGUCCCAAGGGUAUGGCUGUUCGCCAUUUAAAGUGGUACGCGAGCUGGGUUUAGAACGUCGUGAGACAGUUCGGUCCCUAUCUGCCGUGGGCGCUGGAGAAUUGAGGGGGGCUGCUCCUAGUACGAGAGGACCGGAGUGGACGCAUCACUGGUGUUCGGGUUGUCAUGCCAAUGGCAUUGCCCGGUAGCUAAAUGCGGAAGAGAUAAGUGCUGAAAGCAUCUAAGCACGAAACUUGC